GCUCCCCUUCUGUCACCGCUCAGCAUGACCUCAUCGGCAUCAAACGCGAGGGGGCGGUAGGCCUAGCUAGUGACGUCAUGUCAGCCACACCCGACAACCGCUCUCUUGAGCGUUACGUCACCUCCGUUCGGCCGCUGCCGAUUUCUGUUCCGGUGCCAAUCCUUAUUUGGGCAAAGCUACGCCCGGUGACUGCACGCUCAUUAACAUAAUGUGUCCGUUAAAGCCGUCCGCUCAGUGUGGGAGGAGAGUGUCUUGUACCCCGGAAGUGACGUCACGUCACCUGGUGCCGCGUGACGUCACGAGGAAACCUGAAGCUGCCGCUUCGUGCGUGAACUGAAAUCCGAGGCCACGCCCGCGUUCAACUGCUGUACUCCUCUUGUUUUCAAAAGCGACCUGCCCACAACAACAAUAACAACAAGAAUUUGUCUAAUGGAGCAAAGGCACUCGGCGCAGCUCGG